GAUGAACGCUGGCGGCGUGCCUAAUACAUGCAAGUCGAGCGAACAGACGAGGAGCUUGCUCCUUCGACGUUAGCGGCGGACGGGUGAGUAACACGUAGGUAACCUACCUAUAAGACUGGGAUAACUUCGGGAAACCGGAGCUAAUACCGGAUAAUAUUUCGAACCGCAUGGUUCGAUAGUGAAAGAUGGCUUUGCUGUCACUUAUAGAUGGAUCUGCGCCGUAUUAGCUAGUUGGUAAGGUAACGGCUUACCAAGGCAACGAUACGUAGCCGACCUGAGAGGGUGAUCGGCCACACUGGAACUGAGACACGGUCCAGACUCCUACGGGAGGCAGCAGUAGGGAAUCUUCCGCAAUGGGCGAAAGCCUGACGGAGCAACGCCGCGUGAGUGAUGAAGGUCUUCGGAUCGUAAAACUCUGUUAUUAGGGAAGAACAAACGUGUAAGUAACUGUGCACGUCUUGACGGUACCUAAUCAGAAAGCCACGGCUAACUACGUG
rnacentral:rRNA from 1 species